rnacentral:lncRNA from 1 species
UCCCUUAAGUCAUCAUUCUUAUAACGAUAUAUUUCAAAACAUUGUUAACCAUAUCAUUCACCGCUAUUUCCCCCCAUGGUUAUUGUUGCAUCGUAAAUAUGAAUGGUGUGUUCACCUACUUGGUCCUUUCGGGUGUGGCAAUUGUAGUUGUCAUGCUAAGCUGGCUAGCCGUGUGAUAAGAUGAUCAAUUGCUUGCUUGAUUCGUUGUUUACUCAAUCGAUAAAAU